rnacentral:rRNA from 1 species
UACAGAGGUCUCAAGCGUUGUUCGGAUUCAUUGGGCGUAAAGGGUGCGUAGGCGGCGCGGUAAGUCGGGUGUGAAAUCUUGGAGCUUAACUCCGAAACUGCAUUCGAUACUGCCGUGCUUGAGGACUGGAGAGGAGACUGGAAUUUACGGUGUAGCGGUGAAAAUGCGUAGAUAUCGUAAGGAAGACCAGUGGCGAAGGCGGGUCUCUGGACAGUUCCUGACGCUGAGGCACGAAGGCCCAGGGGAGCAAAACGGG